GAUGAACGCUAGCUACAGGCUUAACACAUGCAAGUCGAGGGGUAGCAGGGUAGCAAUACCGCUGACGACCGGCGCACGGGUGAGUAACACGUAUCCAACCUUCCCAUAACUCGGGGAUAGCCUUUCGAAAGAAAGAUUAAUACCCGAUAGUACUUAACAAAGGCAUCUAUGAUAAGUUAAAGAUUUAUUGGUUAUGGAUGGGGAUGCGUUCCAUUAGAUAGUUGGUGAGGUAACGGCUCACCAAGUCUUCGAUGGAUAGGGGUUCUGAGAGGAAGGUCCCCCACAUUGGUACUGAUACACGAACCAUACUCCUACGGGAGGCAGCAGUGAGGAAUAUUGGUCAAUGGGCGAGAGCCUGAACCAGCCAGGUAGCGUGAAGGAUGAAGGUCCUAUGGAUUGUAAACUUCUUUUAUAGUAGAAUAAAGUGAUCCACGUGUGGAUUUUUGUAUGUAUACUAUGAAUAAGGAUCGGCUAACUCCGUGCCAGCCGCCGCCGUAA
rnacentral:rRNA from 1 species